AUUGAACGCUGGCGGCAGGCCUAACACAUGCAAGUCGAGCGGAUGAAGGGAGCUUGCUCCUGGAUUCAGCGGCGGACGGGUGAGUAAUGCCUAGGAAUCUGCCUGGUAGUGGGGGAUAACGUCCGUAAACGGGCGCUAAUACCGCAUACGUCCUGAUGUAGAAAGUGGGGGAUCUUCGGACCUCACGCUAUCAGAUGAGCCUAGGUCGGAUUAGCUAGUUGGUGUGGUAAAGGCCUACCAAGGCGACGAUCCGUAACUGGUCUGAGAGGAUGAUCAGUCACACUGGAACUGAGACACGGUCCAGACUCCUACGGGAGGCAGCAGUGGGGAAUAUUGGACAAUGGGCGAAAGCCUGAUCCAGCCAUGCCGCGUGUGUGAAGAAGGUCCUCGGAUUGUAAAGCACUUUAAGUUGGGAGGAAGAGAAGUAAGUUAAUACCUGGCUGUUUUGACGUUACCAAAAGAAUAAGCACCGGCUAACUUCGUG
rnacentral:rRNA from 1 species